rnacentral:tRNA from 1 species
GCCCUCAUAGCUCAGCGGAUUAGAGCACUUCGCUUCGGACGAAGGGGUCGGGAGUUCGAAUCUCUCUGGGGGCACCA